rnacentral:rRNA from 1 species
CCUACGGGAGGCAGCAGUGGGGAAUAUUGGACAAUGGGGGGAACCCUGAUCCAGCCAUGCCGCGUGUGUGAAGAAGGCCCUCGGGUUGUAAAGCACUUUCAGUGAGGAAGAACGCCUGGUGGUUAAUACCCAUCAGGAAAGACAUCACUCACAGAAGAAGCACCGGCUAACUCCGUGCCAGCAGCCGCGGUAAUACGGAUGGUGCGAGCGUUAAUCGGAAUUACUGGGCGUAAAGCGCGCGUAGGUGGCUUGAUAAGCCGGUUGUGAAAGCCCGGGGCUCAACCUGGGAACGGCAUCCGGAACUGUCAAGCUAGAGUGCAGGAGAGGAAGGUAGAAUUCCCGGUGUAGCGGUGAAAUGCGUAGAGAUCGGGAGGAAUACCAGUGGCGAAGGCGGCCUUCUGGACUGACACUGACACUGAGGUGCGAAAGCGUGGGUAGCAAACAGGAUUAGAUACCCUGGUAGUC